AACGAACGCUGGCGGCAUGCCUAACACAUGCAAGUCGAACGAGACCUUCGGGUCUAGUGGCGCACGGGUGCGUAACGCGUGGGAACCUGCCCUUAGGUUCGGAAUAACUCCCCGAAAGGGGUGCUAAUACCGGAUAAUGUCUUCGGACCAAAGAUUUAUCGCCUUUGGAUGGGCCCGCGUUGGAUUAGCUAGUUGGUAGGGUAAAAGCCUACCAAGGCGACGAUCCAUAGCUGGUCAGAGAGGAUGAUCAGCCACACUGGGACUGAGACACGGCCCAGACUCCUACGGGAGGCAGCAGUGGGGAAUAUUGGACAAUGGGCGAAAGCCUGAUCCAGCAAUGCCGCGUGAGUGAUGAAGGCCUUAGGGUUGUAAAGCUCGUUUACCCGGGAUGAUAAUGACAGUACCGGGAGAAUAAGCUCCGGCUAACUCCGUG
rnacentral:rRNA from 1 species